AUUGAACGCUGGCGGCAGGCCUAACACAUGCAAGUCGAGCGAGCGGCGGACGGGUGAGUAAUGUAUGGGGACUGCCCGAUAGAGGGGGAUAACUACUGGAAACGGUAGCUAAUACCGCAUACUAUCGGAUAACCCAUAUGGGAUUGGCUAGUAGGUGAGGUAAUGGCUCACCUAGGCGACGAUCCCUAGCUGGUCUGAGAGGAUGAUCAGCCACACUGGGACUCAGACACGGCCCAGACUCCUACGGAGGAAGGAGUGUGAGAUAUUGCACAAUGGGCACAAACCUUAUGCAGCCAUGCCGCGUGUAUGAAGAAGGCCCUGUGGUUGUAAAGUACUUUCAGUCGGGAGGCUUUACCGACAGAAGAAGCACCGGCUAACUCCGUGCCAGCAGCCGCGGUAUUAC
rnacentral:rRNA from 1 species